rnacentral:rRNA from 1 species
CCUACGGGUGGCAGCAGUGGGGAAUAUUGGGCAAUGGAGGCAACUCUGACCCAGCAACGCCGCGUGAAUGAUGAAGGUCUUCGGAUUGUAAAGUUCUGUGAUGGGGGAUGAACACAAUGACGGUACCCCAAUAGCAAGCCACGGCUAACUACGUGCCAGCAGCCGCGGUAAUACGUAGGUGGCAAGCGUUAUCCGGAAUGACUGGGCGUAAAGGGUGCGUAGGUGGUUUAGUAAGUUGGCGGUGUAAUUCCGGGGCUCAACCUCGGCGCUACCGCCAAAACGAUUAGACUAGAGUGCAGGAGGGGUAAGCGGAAUUCCUAGUGUAGCGGUGAAAUGCGUAGAUAUUAGGAAGAACACCAGUGGCGAAGGCGGCUUGCUGGACAGUAACUGACGUUGAGGCUCGAAAGCGUGGGGAGCAAACAGGAUUAGAUACCCGAGUAGUC